GUGGGGUUGUGGUUCAGUGGUAGAGUGCUCACCUAGCAUGCAUGAGGCACUGGGUUCAAUACUCAGCACCACA
rnacentral:tRNA from 1 species